rnacentral:lncRNA from 1 species
UGUCCAAUGACUCCAUCGCACCUAUCUCCAAUAAGAGCAAGAAUGUCUUCAACCGAUAGAAUAGUUUUCUUCUCAGUGCAUAUCUACUCAUAAUUACAAAAUCAAAUGCAUUAAAUCAAGUUAAUCAAACCCAAAAAAGAAUGAACAACUUGAAAAGAAAUAUGGAAAAGGAAUAUAUAUAUAUAUAUAUAUAUAUAUAUUACUUCGAGACGACAAUCUUGUUCAAUUAGAAGAUUAAUCCAUCUAGUUCCCGGCAUAGAUUUUGUGCUGACAACUCUGUAUUUCCCAUUUGGAUUCCACACUUCAAUUUGAACUGGCUUUGCCAUCUUCAAUUCUAACGUUUAUGUCUCUGCUCUCUGCUUACUCACUCACCACUUUAUUUCCUUCUUUAAAU